ensembl:lncRNA
GAAUAAUCAGGAUUAUUUUUAUUAAUUCAUCUUCAGGUUCAAUAAUAUUACAGAAAAACAUCCUCUUCAUUAUAUUUAUACAGUAGUAGUAGAAUGCUGUGUCAUUGCUUCAUUACAAGUGCUGGUCAUAGUUUAUAGUGUGUGCAGUGUGACACUGAGUUCAGCCCAGUGUUACGAAUCACUCGGUACAAAGGCAGUUUCUCAACAACCUGCUUCUGCUCGCUCUGAUGAAUCUAUCUGGGUUUGAUUGGUCCUCCUUGGGCAGGCGGCAGGACACGCACUGAUGCUGCGUUUGUGCCGUAAACGCGAGCCGCCGUAAACGCGAGCCGCCAAACGGCAAGCGAGGAAAUGCUCAUAUUUACUAUUUUAGGAAUUUCUCUGAACGAACAGCCAUUUGUCAUCGCGCCAUUCCCGUGUGACACGGACGCAGCACGAGCCACUCACAUAUAUGCUGUAUAUAUACGGUGCAUUUGAGGUAACUGGGAAGUUUCUGGAAACCAAGCCAGAGCACUUAAAGACAGUGUUGGCACCAGAGCAUCAGUGUCACGUUUAAUCAGAUCAGAGGACCCGCCCAGGCGCUGCACCCCACUCUCACGCCUGGAAUCACACCUGCCCAAAGAGAAAGACACGCCCCCUUUUUUUAUGGGCAUGCAGGUGUGACAAGAAGGAGGGGGAAAGAGGGAUGGGUCAGAGCUCAGGACAAAGAGCCGCGCUGCAUUCAGGACGCCGUGUCAGUACCGUUAAAAUCAGACAGAGCAGUUACUCCAGUAUGACCUGAAUGCAGCGCCUGACCUUUGACCUGUGGGUUUGGUUGAUCAUAUUUAAAUCAGGUUUUCCACUGACGUGGUGCCGGCUCUUGGUUGGUUUUGGGAGUCGAGGUGAAGAGCCUCACAGGAAGAAGUUACAGAGCUGGUUCUGCCUGGGUUCUCUCCCAGAACAGGCUGAGAACCAACCACCGCUGUGAGCUGCCUCGGCCAAUCAUUGGUGACCUCUCUGAGUCCAACCGUGGGCUACAAUGUUUGGAAAACUGUCAUUUCAGUGGAAAGUCAAUAACCUGCUUCUAGAUUUAGCAGCAGUACCACACCAGUGGAAAAGAAGUCCCAGCAGGAAGAAUCGGAUCCAUUUUCCCACAAACGCAGCGCCAGAACAUUAGGUAGCACAAGCCGGCGUAAUGUCUGUGGUAAGAAGAGAAAUUUCGUGCAGUUCCCACUCCCACCAUCGAUCCAUGAAUCCAACUACGGGACAACCCGGAAAGGACCCGGGUCUGGGUGAGGCAGCGGCACUGAGUUGUUGGAAAAAGGUGGUAACAGGAUGAGUUGUCCACUUGAUUUCCAAAGCAGAGCUGUUGGUGUGGGUGCAGCAGACCAGACUCAGUCUCACAGGCCGGAAUGCCAAGCAUCACAAAUGGAAAUGGGCGCUUUGGGACCGCUGAUUUUGAGGUGCCAGUGGUUUUGUGGCACUUUUUAUUUGUUAACAUCUGAUGAAGUAGCACCCCGGUACCACAUCGAUGGAAAAUGGGUCAAAGUAGGAAGAACCGUGUUCCCAUUUUACCACCAACAUGGACUCUGGGAAAUUUGGGAAAAUAUGAGCUGGUUAUCGAUUAUACAUCACACACACACCGCGCUGCAGGAAAACAGGUUAAACGGGAAGGAUGAGAGGAAGUGGGCAGUUUGCGUUGGAGCUCUCAGAUCUCACAGGACGCUUCUGGUUGUCGGUAACCGGUAAACAUUUAUCAGCAGGAUCUACGGCCAGCAGCUCAGAUGCUUCUGCGUUUGUAGUCGGCGAACUAUCAAAGGAGGGUUUCUGCACGCUCAUACAGUACGCGGAGAGAACGGCGGUCAGAUGACGUUUUGAUUUACAGCCUCGAACCGACCAUAACGAGCACCUUAACACCGUCAUGGCAAAAAUACACGUGGUGUAGUUACGAGCACCUGAAUGUGACACCCUGCCUUCAAGUGAUGCAAGCAGAUGGGAAAACCGUGAAUCGCGUCUGUGCUCCGAACUCGCCGAAGCAGUUGGUUCCUGCACAUGUGGUCGUGGGUAAAAAUCUGAAUAAAGACUCCUGAUUGGACAGCCUGAUCAGAGCGAGUGAAAGGACAAAUCCCACACCCAGAACUCCAGACGCAAAUGUGGAUUAAUCAUGUAAUCGCGCCCGUCACACGGGUGAUCCCAGAGGUUAACAUAAACGUCUUCCUGCUGUAAACGUCACACUCUGGUCGAACACCACUUGAACGCAGGGUUGGACCGAACCGCCAGCGUGGCGCAGCUUUGAUACGACCGCGAUCAGAGACGUCUUUAUCGCGUUUAUAUCGGAGCGGAGAAAUCGCUCGGCGCCCCAAAGACGAGCCGCUGACCCACCGAGGACGAUUUCAUGGCUUCGCUGAGACGUCUCCAGAUGUUUGAGAGGGUUAAAUCUGCAGAAAGGUAAAAAAGGAACACCAGAGGACGCCUGCAGUUUGUUCUCUUUUCUUUUUUCAUUGUUUGGCAGAAAAUAUUCAGUGGCACAAACAACGUGAGCAGCUUCACUCGGAGGACGUCUUCAUCAGCCGUGUUUUGCUGAUGUUUGGAGUCUGUGUGAUCCAGGAGGAGACGCAGUGAAACGGCAGGAAGUUUCUAUAGCAGGAGAGAGGACGCCAGAGCAGAGCAAGGGUAGAAAAAGGAGGAGGGUCUCUAUGUCUCUAAUCUAUCCGGGAAAAACGCACAAAGCAAAUGAAGAGGAGAGAAGAGGGCAUGAAUACUACUAAGAUGAUGAUAUUGUCAGAACCAUGAUAAUAAUAAAUAGAAUAUUAAUAAUCAUUAUCAUCAGGAUAAUAAUAAUAUUACAGAAUAAAUCUCAUAUUUCGUAUAUUUUUUCACAUUUUUUUUCUCCUUUGAAAUACAGUGAUCUCCUCAGAGCAGACCAAUGAGGACUCAGCCUGCGCUGGCUCCGAUUGGCUGUUGCAUAUGACAUCACAGCUAAUGGCGACCAGGUAGACAUGCACCGGUUCC